rnacentral:lncRNA from 1 species
UUUGAUUAACGACCGAAAAAAAAGCAAUAUUUAUCAAAAUGUCCAUCAAUUUGUAUAGUUGAAUUGACAUUAAUCAAAAUAUCAAUAACACCAUUUCUUUUCUUCCAAUAAAUCACAAAACCUCAAACAUAUUCUCCUACUUACCAUUAAUUUUCUUUUUCAUCUUAAUUCCUAAAUUUACAACUAAUUUUUCUUCUUCUCUCUAAUUUUUUCUUCAUUUUCUUCCCUUAUUUAUUUUGCACCGUCCCAUACAUCUUCUUCUCCCAAUUCAAGAAGCAUUUGACUACUUCAAGAAGGAAAUUGUGUGCAUAUUAAUGACACCAAUUUACUCAAACCAGUGAAAGAUGCAGGAAAAGUUGUGGAAGUAAGUUUUAGGAAGCAAUAUAUGAUGAUUUGGGAACUAUGCUCGUGAAUUGUCAAGGGGUAAUAUGGGAACAACACCAAUUUCCUUUGCGAAUUGGGGGAAUAAGAUACAUGGAGAAGAUAAAGAAUAAAAGGGAUGCAAAUGAAGAAGAAAUUAUGGAAGAAGAUGAAUAAUAAAACGGGGAAAUGAAGAAGAAGUUUUAGGUUUAGAGCUAGGGAGAAAGAUGAUGAAGAAAUAUGAGUAGUAAGAAGGAUAACAUGUUUUUUAUUUUGUGAUUUAAAGUGACAUAAUAAAACUCCCCUGUUUUUUCUUUGGAUAAUAAAAAUAUAUAUUCUCACAUACACUCAUGAUUGAAAACUCGAAAUGAAAAUUAUAAUAACAUUCUGAUUGAAAAUCAUUCUUAUGUGAACAUAAGAAUUUAGACAAAAAAAUAAAUGUUUCAUAAUUUUAAAAACUCUUAUUUAAUCAAUUACUUUUUCUAUUUUUUUGUUAUGUGUGUACGCUUAAAUAGUG